CACUUUCUUUCUCCAGAACAUGUCUCUGUUUCCUGAAGCAAGGCUGUGGUGUGAAGAUGGGGAACAUUUUGGCGGGAAGAUGAGGAACCUUGUGGUCACCCACCCGCUGUAGCCUGCGAGCUCCAUGAGAGGGCUCUGAGCACGCUACUAACCACACGGUUCUGAGUUAUUCCUGCAAGACAAAAUGGCUUCAAGUUGCACCAGAUUAAUCCAUCUCUUGCUCUGUCUUCAAUCUUCUCAAUAUUGCCCAGAGGUGGAAAACAAGCUUAUGAAAGAAGUGUCUUUUGGGGUUUAUAAGAAUUCCACAUCCUGGGAGACAAAUAAGAACUCAACACCUUGGGAGACAAAUAGGUCUUUCAGUAUGGAAACAGACUUUCUGAAAAAAAUAAUCCUGGCUGUAGAGAUGCUUUCCUACCUCUCGUGUUAUUUUGGUCACAGAACCUCAGGUGGAUGGAGAUGAUGAGGAUAUUUAUCCUCACCAUAGUGGUCUGAGGAGGAGGUCCCACAAAUAAUCGUUUUGGAUUUUCCCCAGAGUAAUAUUGCAAUUGCCAUUUCUACCAUUAGCAGUCUGCUGUUAUUUCACUCUCCUCUGUGUAAUAUGCUAUCAAAAUCAGCUCUGCUGCUUGUUUGCCACUGGAUGGACAUUUCAAUUAAAGACUUGCUAAUUUCUGAUCUUUUAUAUGGAACAAUAAUGAAACUAUUUGAAAAAUAAAAAUAGGCAGACAUAUUUGCGAGACUAUUUGCCUGACACUGAAAGUGAAUGUCUUCUGGUUGUAUAGG